CCUACGGGAGGCAGCAGUGGGGAAUAUUGGACAAUGGGGGGAACCCUGAUCCAGCCAUGCCGCGUGUGUGAAGAAGGCCCUCGGGUUGUAAAGCACUUUCAGUGAGGAAGAACGCCUGGUGGUUAAUACCCAUCAGGAAAGACAUCACUCACAGAAGAAGCACCGGCUAACUCCGUGCCAGCAGCCGCGGUAAUACGGAGGGUGCGAGCGUUAAUCGGAAUUACUGGGCGUAAAGCGCGCGUAGGUGGCUUGAUAAGCCGGUUGUGAAAGCCCCGGGCUCAACCUGGGAACGGCAUCCGGAACUGUCAAGCUAGAGUGCAGGAGAGGAAGGUAGAAUUCCCGGUGUAGCGGUGAAAUGCGUAGAGAUCGGGAGGAAGACCAGUGGCGAAGGCGGCCUUCUGGACUGACACUGACACUGAGGUGCGAAAGCGUGGGUAGCAAACAGGAUUAGAUACCCCAGUAGUC
rnacentral:rRNA from 1 species